rnacentral:rRNA from 1 species
CCCCGCGUCUGAUUAGCUAGUUGGUGAGGUAAUGGCUCACCAAGGCGACGAUCAGUAGCUGGUCUGAGAGGAUGAUCAGCCACACUGGGACUGAGACACGGCCCAGACUCCUACGGGAGGCAGCAGCAAGGAAUUUUCGUCAAUGGGCGCAAGCCUGAACGAGCAACGCCGCGUGGAGGAUGACGGCCUUCGGGUUGUAAACUCCUUUUGGGGGGGACGAUAAUGACGGUACCCCCCGAAUAAGGCUCGGCUAACUCUGUGCCAGCAGCCGCGGUACGCC